GUUUGAUCCUGGCUCAGGAUGAACGCUAGCGGCAGGCCUAACACAUGCAAGUCGAACGGUAACAGGGAUUAGCUUGCUAAUCCGCUGACGAGUGGCGCACGGGUGCGUAACGCGUAUACAAUCUGCCUUUAAGCGGGGAAUAGCCCAUGGAAACGUGGAUUAAUACCCCAUAGUAUGUAGACUUCACCUGAAGAUUACAUUAAACAUUUAUGGCUUAAAGAUGAGUAUGCGUCCUAUUAGUUAGUUGGUAAGGUAACGGCUUACCAAGACGGCGAUAGGUAGGGGUCCUGAGAGGGAGAUCCCCCACACUGGUACUGAGAC
rnacentral:rRNA from 1 species